GACGAACGCUGGCGGCGUGCUUAACACAUGCAAGUCGAGCGGAAAGGCCCUUCGGGGUACUCGAGCGGCGAACGGGUGAGUAACACGUGAGUAACCUGCCCCUGACUCUGGGAUAAGCCUGGGAAACCGGGUCUAAUACCGGAUACGACCUCCUCCCGCAUGGGAUGGGGGUGGAAAGUUUUUCGGUUGGGGAUGGGCUCGCGGCCUAUCAGCUUGUUGGUGGGGUAGUGGCCUACCAAGGCGACGACGGGUAGCCGGCCUGAGAGGGCGACCGGCCACACUGGGACUGAGACACGGCCCAGACUCCUACGGGAGGCAGCAGUGGGGAAUAUUGCGCAAUGGGCGAAAGCCUGACGCAGCGACGCCGCGUGGGGGAUGACGGCCUUCGGGUUGUAAACCUCUUUCAGCAGGGACGAAGUUGACGUGUACCUGCAGAAGAAGCGCCGGCUAACUACGUGCCAGCAGCCGCC
rnacentral:rRNA from 1 species